AACGGCCGUACCAUGCUGAAUAUACCGGUUUUCGUUAGAUCACCGAAGUUAAGCAUCAUUGGGCGCGGUCAGUACUUGGGUGGGUGACCACCUGGGAACACUGCGUGCCGUU
rnacentral:rRNA from 1 species